GAUGAACGCUAGCGAUAGGCCUAACACAUGCAAGUCGAGGGGCAGCACAUGAAGUAGCGAUACGGAUGGUGGCGACCGGCGCACGGGUGAGUAACGCGUAUGCAAUCUACCUACAACAAGGGGAUAACCCGUUGAAAGACGGACUAAUACCCUAUAAUACAGGGGUCCCGCAUGGGAAUAUUUGUUAAAGAUUCAUCGGUUGUAGAUGAGCAUGCGUUCCAUUAGCUAGUUGGUGAGGUAACGGCCCACCAAGGCAACGAUGGAUAGGGGAACUGAGAGGUUUAUCCCCCACACUGGUACUGAGACACGGUCCCGACUCCUACGGGGGCAGCAGUGAGGAAUAUUGCCCAAUGGGGGAAACCCUGAGGCAGCAACGCCGCGUGGAGGAAGAAGGUCUUUACGAUCGUAAACUUCUUUUGUGAGGGAAGAGGAAGGACGGUACCUCAUGAAUAAGUCACGGCUAACUACGUG
rnacentral:rRNA from 1 species